rnacentral:rRNA from 1 species
UACGGAGGGGGCUAGCGUUGUUCGGAAUUACUGGGCGUAGAGCGCACGUAGGCGGACCAGCAAGUUAGGGGUGAAAUCCCGGGGCUCAACCCCGGAACUGCCUUUAAAACUGUUGGUCUGGAGGUCGAGAGAGGUGAGUGGAAUUCCGAGUGUAGAGGUGAAAUUCGUAGAUAUUCGGAGGAACACCAGUGGCGAAGGCGGCUCACUGGCUCGAUACUGACGCUGAGGUGCGAAAGCGUGGGGAGCAAACAGG